ACAUCUCUCUCAGCGUCUCUCACCCAUUUUCCAUACCCAAAAAAUGUCUUCGCCAAGCAAACGCCGUGAGAUGGAUUUGAUGAAACUGAUGAUGAGUGAUUACAAGGUGGAGAUGAUCAAUGACGGCAUGCAAGAGUUUUAUGUGGAUUUCAAUGGACCCAAAGAGAGUCCGUAUCAGGGAGGUGUCUGGAGGAUAAGGGUGGAGCUACCAGAUGCUUAUCCUUACAAAUCUCCAUCUGUUGGCUUUGUCAACAAAAUUUACCACCCAAAUGUUGAUGAAAUGUCUGGAUCAGUUUGUUUAGAUGUUAUCAACCAAACUUGGAGCCCCAUGUUUGACCUGGUUAAUGUGUUUGAAGUGUUUCUGCCCCAACUUCUUUUAUAUCCCAACCCAUCGGAUCCAUUGAAUGGAGAGGCAGCUGCUUUAAUGAUGCGUGAUCGUUCUGCUUAUGAACAAAGAGUAAAAGAGUAUUGUGAGAAGUAUGCAAAGCCAGAAGACAUAGGUGGUGCUCCAGAGGAGAAAUCAAGUGAUGAUGAGGAUCUGAGUGAAGAUGAAUAUGACUCCAGUGAUGACGCAGUUGCAGGCCAAGCUGAUCCAUAGGUUCAUAAACCCUGCUCCAGUUAAUUCUCUGUUGUACCUGUACAUUAUAUUGUACUGAUGCUUGGAAAAUUAAACCCAAAAAAAAAAAAAACUAAGGGCUUAUGGAAAAAUUCCUGCCCUUGUGAUUGUUGUCCAUGGCGGUUGUGUAAAUUAAUCAACUAUGAUUUAUUGUUAUCAAUAUUCAUCUACUGUUUUGGACUGAAA